rnacentral:lncRNA from 1 species
UGCUAAUGACUUUCUAGAGUAUCUAAUUGAGGUGCUUAUCAUAUUUAUUAUGUGGCUAGAUCAGAUUAGUUAUCCUUGUCACUAUUAUUAUUUCAUAUAUCUUUUAUGUGACACUUAUCCCUGUAUGAAGAGUUAGAUAUAAUGUUCUCAAUUAUACAUGCAGUGAUAGAUGCUCAAUCUCAUAUUCUAUUCUGUAAUAAAUAUUGAUGAUUUCUAAUCCCUUCCCAGUGGUAAAAAUAACGAUACCUGGAAUACAUCCCGGUUAAAAUGCUGCAUCGGUAUUAAUCUGUGCGCUUGCAGAUCCCAUUCAUUAUUUAUUUAGAAGAGCAAUUGCAUAUUUCAAUACCGCGUCUCUUAUAUCAUGCUGGGGAUGACAACUUGGCUUAAGUGGUGUGAGGGAUAGGUUUGGCAUUUUUGGCACCGUUACUAGAUUUAGAGAACUUAGUCUACUUUUGGUAAUGAUGUUAAGAAUACCCAACAAGCAUUUUUGGCGCCGUUGCCGGGGAAGGUUGAUUACCAAUCAGGAAUGGAAUAAAAGAUUUUGAGUUAUCAUUCGCAUCACUAAUAUGAUUGAGCUUAUCUAUUCUCUCAUACAGUUUUACCCCGAUAUUUUUCUAUUUUAUCUUAUGCAGGGGAAUGUAUGAAUAGAAGACAUCUUCCAGGGAAUUUUGUUGACAAUCCUGAAGCAUUAUUCAAGAAGACGAGAGCCAAGCUAAAGAGAUCAUCAACACUUCACGAAAAAGCUUCAUCCAAUCAAGAAGAUCACCGGAACUUGUCUUCAGAAUUUGAAGCCAUGGCGAACAAAUCAAUCCGCGAGUUCUCAGCUCCCACUACGGACAACAUCCGCACUGGACCUACUGCAGAGAUCGAUGGCAACUUUGAGCUCAAGCCUGGACUUGUCAACAUGGUGCAAUCCAACCAGUUCUGUGGGAAGGCACACGAAGAUGCUAGUGCUCAUUUACAACACUUCCUGGAGAUUUGCAACACAUUCACCAUAGCAGGAGUUUCCAAAGAUGCUAUACUACUUCGCCUCUUCCCAUUCUCACUGUUAGGAAGAGCGAAGCAGUGGUUCUACGCUACAAAGGAGAAGAAUACUACGUGGGCACUCUGCUCAACAAACUUCCUGGCUAAGUUCUUUCCCAUGGGCAAGACCAAUGCUCUCCGUGGGAAGAUUACAAGUUUUCAGCAACAAAAUGAUGAAUCUGUUCCAGAAGCAUGGGAGCGCUUUCAAGACUACAUCCUAGAAUGUCCCCAUCAUGGAAUGGAGAGUUGGCUAUUGAUGCAGACAUUCUAUCAUGGGCUCAGCAACAGUGCCCGAGAGACCAUGGAUGCUGCAGCUGGAGGAGCAUUCUUAUCACUUACUAUACCACAAGCCACAGCUCUUGUGGAGAAGAUGGCGUCCAACCAAAGCUGGAAUGAAGAGAGGACCCAGACACGCAAGAGAGGUGGAGGUAUGCAUCAGCUGAAGGAGGUAGACAUGCUGUCUGCAAAGCUAGACCUACUCAUGAAGAAGCUCGACGAUAGAGCUGGAGACAAGAAAGAAGUUAUGCACAUCUACGACUCUCACAUGACUUGUGAGGAGUGUGGAGACACUGGACACUCAGGCAACCACUGCCCUGAGAUACUUGAGGAUGUGAACUACAUCAACAACAACAACAACAAUAACUACUACAACCGUCCUCAACAAAAUCAAGGUUGGAAUCAACAGAGGCCUAACUACUCAGGUAAUUAUUAAGGUAACAAUUCUUACAACAAUAAUAAUAAUUUUCCACCUUUGAGAGAGUUAGUGUCUAAUCAAGGCAGGCUAAUGGAUAAUCUAUCUAAGAAAUUGGCAUCUAAUGAUAAAAUGCUAAAAAAUAUAAAUAAUAGAAUGGAUAAUUUUUCUACUGCCAUCAAGAAUCAAAUUAGCUUUAAUAAAAUGAUUGAAUCUCAGUUAAAUCAAAUAGCUGCUGCUGUUCCUACUACUAACCCCGGUAUACCAUCACAACCGGAAGGAUUAGAAUCUGCAAAUCUUGUAGACGUGUUUGAUGCAGGUAAUUGGAGUAACCCUGUCACUGAAUUUUCUACUGACCGUCUGCCUGUCAAGAGAGGCGAUCCAGGACGCCCCGUCAUCCCGAUCUCCAUCGGCAUGGUGGACUUCCCAGAAGCACUCUGUGACUUUGGCUCUAGCGUCAACAUUAUACCCAGGGUACUCUAUGAAAAAUUCUUUACAUAUCCUUUAUUAGAGACAACCAUGUGUUUGCAGUUUGCAGAUCAGACGAUAACUUUUCCAAAAGGAAUAGUGAGGAACCUUUGUGUCCGAGUUGGUACCUUGUAUGCCCCAGCAGACUUCGUAGUGGUAGAGACCGGAAAUGAUGAGAGAGCACCUAUCAUCCUAGGAAGGCCAUUCUUGAACACCACGGGAGCUAUCAUCUACGCUAGUGCUGCCAAGAUCAGUUUCUACGUCAAAGGGAAGAAGGAGACAUUUUUCUUCAAGAACAAGACUACACAAAUUCCAGAUCAAUCCAGACGUAAAUCAAGGAAGAGGACCAACAGGAGGAACAGGAACAAGCAAGUGGGGACCGAGUCAGCUAAGAUGGUCACUGUAGUUCAUGGAGGCCAAGAUCAUCAACUUAAGUCACCGUUUUUUACCAAGAAGGACGACCCAGGAAUGCCAAGCAUCUACUGCUCCAUAAAUGGAUACAACAUCUACAAGACGAUUUGCGACACCGGAUCGGGCGUCAACAUAAUGGCCGCAGUCACCUAUCGGCUCUUGUUCGGAACCAUGCCACUACGACCAACAUACAUUCAGCUCCAGAUGGCAGAUCAGACAUUUCGAGAAGUUCAAGGAAUAGUAUCUGAUGUCCCAAUCAAAAUAGACGAUCACUUUGUCUACACAGACUUUCAAGUUGUUGACAUGGGAGAAGACGAGUAUGAUCCACCCAUCAUCCUUGGAGGACCGUUCCUCAGCACUGUUAAAGCAAUUAUCUACAUUGGAACCGGAGAAGUCCAUAUGCACUUCUCCUCAGAGAAGGUACGCCGUUAUUUUACUGACCCUAACUAUAUUGUUGAAGAAUCUAAGCAGGUAAGGAAAAGACGCAACCGCAACCAGAGGAGGCAGAUCAUCAAGGACGGAUGGGCAGACUACGAAGGAGAAGUUGUAAGACCAGAAGACGUUGAGUUUAAACAAAAUUAUCCAGAGGAGAUUGAAGCACCGAGUCAGGUAUGGAAAAUGAAGAUAACUAUACAAGAAGAAGAGGCGCUGCCGGAAGUACCGACUACGCCACCCAACGAACCUCAGGACGAUUAAAGAAAAUGGAGAGUCUCGUUCGGAGGAAUUAAAAACACCGAACGCCUUGCCAAGAGGUAAACUUGGUAGUUACCCUUUCCUUUUCAAUUAUUUUACUUAGUUAAUCAUAUUCAUACUAUCCUAAAAAGAAAAUAAAAAUAUGAAAAACAGUAAGCCCCAUGUGAGUAGACGAGUGGCAUAAAACCCAUAAGUACAUUCACUGUGGUGGCAUAAAAAUAAAUAUUUUUCUGCUUUAUAAAAUAAAAAUAUAAAAAUAGGGAGUAAUAUUUAUUAAGGAGUCUCAAGAUAAUAAAGGCUAGAUAUUUAUACUAACACUUAAUCAGUUCCACAAGCUUUGUUGUCUAUUUGAGCUCCACAGAAUUUAAGAAUCAAGAAGACUGGCAGACGGAGGACAUUCUAAUCGCUGUCAGAAAGCUGCUGACUUUCAAAUACACCUCUGCCACCUGCUAGCUACAUCAAGAGAAAUUACGUCAAAAUUCAGCUUGGGGGAGAGCACCCCCAUUUAUCCCGAUAAGUAUUUCUAUCUAUCUAUCUUUAUACUUAUAUUAUUUUAGAAUAUUAAAAUACAUAUAAACUAUGGAAAACCAAAUAAAGAUUUUAUGCUUAUAUAUAUAUAUAUAUCUUUUGCUUAGUGUGUUUAAUAAAUAAAUAAAGUGGCUAUGCUAAUCUGUAUAAAACUUAAGCAUGGAUAUGAUGAAUAGUUGCUCUGCCUAAUUUGCACAUUUUAAGUUCUCUCUCAAGUUUAGACAUAACUGUUAUAAUUUAAAGCUUGCUCUAGACCUAAACUUGUGGGAUGAAAACUUGAUCUGAAGUCUAAGUUGUUAACGGAUACGAUAUGGGAAGGUUGAGCUGCUGUUUAUCUGUUCCUAGAGAUGCUAGAAUUCUGGAGAAUUUUAUUUUUGAAAAUCUUUAAAAUGUUGCAUGAUGAGUUCCUGUAUGAUGAGAGUUUAAAUUCCUACCACAGCCAUAUAUACAUGCUUGUUAGACUUUGAGCCACACAUUUAUUAUUUACUGCUUAUGAGCAUUGAGUGUGGUCAAGCUGUGUUGACCCUUAGGAGCUUGUCAUGUGGUUAAAUCAAGAUUUCACUUGCACGUUCACUCAUAUAUGCUACUUCUACCCCGGAAGUACCAUCCACAUAUAUCCACCCAUUCCAUCUCCGGAAUCACCCAAAAAUAUUCUACUCCUAACCCGGGAGAGAAUAACCAAAAAUAUUUCUGUUUUCCCCUUGUGAAAUAAAUGCUCAAGUUAUCUUGUUACUACCACUUGCUAUAUUAUCUCAAGAGAUGAAUGCUCUGAAAAAAAAGAAAGAUACGAGGAAAUAAAAAGGAGCAAGUGCUCGGAACCUCGAAAGAAAAGAAAAGUGAGACGAGAGGUAAAAAUGGACAAGUGUCCGACAGUAGAAUUAGGGGUGCAAGAUACGCACCUGAGAGGAAAGAAAAAGAUAGAGCAUCUCAUUCUCAUCAUAAAGUUUCAAAAAGCAAGGAAGGUAUGUAACCCCUCAAAAGAGCAAAAGUAGAAUUAGACUUCCACCUCCAUUGUUUUCACCAUUGUUUCCACCAUUGUUAUCACCAUCAUCACCAUACACCAUCCAUUCGCCACACAUGCACAUCUUGAUUAAACUUAUUGACUUGUUACUUUGGAUCCAUGGUUUGACUAUGCAAUAAAUGUCUUGUAAGUAUGUAUACUUUAUCUCCCACCUAUGAGCUCCAGAUAUUAAAGCCUUAUUAGAGUAGGGUGAGAGAGAAGGCAAUGUCACUAUGCCUCAUACCACAAAUACUACAUAUUUUGAGAGAAGGCAUAUACCAUCACUGCCUUGGUAAGGAUCCAAAAAUACCACAAAAGAGAGACCUGAGAGAAUCAUACAAGGAAUUUCUGAGUUUUAUUUGAAAAUCUGCAAAAACCCCAGAGCUAUAGCUGAUCAAGAAUAAGAGACAUGGCACUUGGCUAGACUGUUCUAUCUUUUAACUACUCAAGACAGAAGUGAUAGUUACAAGUCCCAUGGUGAAGGUAAAGUAAGUAAGUUUUAAGUCUUGACAGUUUACUCUAACUCAGAGAUGAGAUCUUAUUUAAAAGCAUGUGUACCGUCAAAUUUUUAAAGAUAUAAGUCUAUCCUUGCUCAGGGACGAGCAAGAGGUAAGCUUGGGGGAGUUUGUUGACGGUCCUUAAGUAUCAAAUUUAAUUAUCAAAUAAAUGAAGAAAAGGAUCCAAAUGAAAUCAAGAUCUAGACUUAGGGUUUUAUCUGACAGAAUUCCACGAGUUUUGGUGUUUGUCUAUUUCUACAGGGGGUUAUCAGGAAAUACGGAAGAAAGACCCACAUGUCAGGAUUACGUAAAGAUAUUAACGUGCUGCGCAAUUAUCUUACAUCUAGAAGACUCCAGAAACCACGAGACCGAAGCGGAGGCGAAACGGGGCCUGACCCUGGGCGGCCGCCCAGCUGGUCAGGGCGCCCGCCCUGCCCCUGAGUCCAAUCAGGACUCUGCUUUGCGGGAGAUCUCCACCGACCUAAAGGAUGAAUCUAAACCAUACAAUCUAUGUCGGUUUGAUCCAAGGGCCCAUAUUCACUUGAAGGGACUAUAAAACCAGACCCCCUGGCCCCUGGAGGAGAGAGCCUCUCAACCCUAAUUCAUUGUUCCAUCAAGGGAGAAGAAGCCUCUGAUCAAGAUUAGAGCCACCACAUCAAUUAGAUAUCUAGAUUAGCAUAGCUACAUAGGAUUAGAACUAGAAGGAGUCAAUCUUCGAUUGGUUUCCGGAUCUGUCAAGAGGAUUCUUGGUAAUUCUCUAAUUGUGCUUCUAAUUGCUUUCUAAUUAUCUUUGUUCUUCAAUAUUAUGAAUAUGACUUUGUUCUACUUCAAUAUAUUGCUUAUGACUUUGCUCUACUUGCUUACAAGAUUAUAUUGUUCUUAGUUUAUCAUAGUUAUGUACUUGGCUUAGUUAGAUUCGAUCUAUAUACAUGCUUAGGAUCGUAUAGCGUUUAUCCAUCGGAUCCAUGGGUAAAUGAUAGAUAUUGUGUAGGCGUGGUGCUUAUACCGUAUUUAUCUGCGAUUGUACCCAAUAUGCCAGAUCGUGGGGUGGUUCGUGAUAGUGACAGCUUCAUUGAUUCUUAUAUAGUCCCCCUCUCGUGUAUUGGGCUGGCAGAGCAACAUUAUUACAGGGGAGUGAUUGCUAUGUUUCUCAUAUUCCUUGCUAAUAUCACUAUGCAUGGGCGUAGUCUUGUCUCGCAAUGAUUGCUAAGUAUGCUUGCACUAACUAUGAUAAUGCUAGACUAUAUAGUUGAGAAUAACUUAGGGAAUAUUCUUGUAGUUCGUUCUAAUACCAUGCUAAUGACUUUCUAGAGUAUCUAAUUGAGGUGCUUAUCAUAUUUAUUAUGUGGCUAGAUCAGAUUAGUUAUCCUUGUCACUAUUAUUAUUUCAUAUAUCUUUUAUGUGACACUUAUCCCUGUACGAAGAGUUAGAUAUAAUGUUCUCAAUUAUACAUGCAAUGAUAGAUGCUCAAUCUCAUAUUCUAUUCUGUAAUCAAUAUUGAUGAUUUCUAAUCCCUUCCCAGUGGUAAAAAUAACGAUACCUGGAAUACUUCCCGAUUAAAAUGCUGCAUCGGUAUUAAUCUGUGCGCUUGCAGAUCUCAUUCAUUAUUUAUUUAGAAGAGCAAUUGUAUAUUUCAAUACCGCGUCUCUUAUAUCAUGCUGGGGAUGACAACUUGGCUUAAGUGGUGUGAGGGAUAGGUUUGGCAUUUUUGGCACCGUUACUAGAUUUAGAGAACUUAGUCUACUUUUGGUAAUGAUGUUAAGAAUACCCAACACUUGGUAGUUAUCCUUUUCCUUUCAAUUAUUUAAAAUAGUUUGCUUAGUUAAUCAGGUUCAUAUCAUCUUAAAAAGAAAAUAAAAAUGUUAAAAAUAGUAAGCCCCAUGUGAGUAUGCUCAUGGCAUAAAACCCAUAAGUACAUUCACUGUGGUGGCGUAAAAAUAAAAUAAAUAUAUUCCUGUCCUAUAAAAAUGAAAAUAUAAAAAUAAAUUUAUGAUUCUACCAAAGAGAGUAAUAUUUAUUAGAGGAAGCUCAACAUGAUAACGGCUAAGAGAUUUUAUGCUAACUAGUUCCACAAAGCUUUGUUGUCUAUUUGAGCUCCACAGAAUUCAAGGAUCAAAGAAGACUAGCAGACGGAGGACAUCCUAAUCGCUGUCAGGGUGCUGCCGACAUUCAAAUACACCUCCGCCACCUGCUAGCUACAUCAGAAGAAUUACGUCAAAAUCCAGCUUGGGGGAGAGCACCCCCAUUUAUCCAGCUAAGUGUUCUACUCACGUUUAUACUUUACUCAAAUAAUAAAAAGAUGCAUAAUUAUAAAAACCCAAAUAAAGAUUUUGUGCUUAUAUAUAUAUAUCUUUGCUUAGUUUGCUAAAUAAAUAAAUAAAUAAAGUUUGCUAUGAACCCUCAUGAUAAGCUCUCACAUGGAAAUGAUGAAUAGUUGCUCUGCCAUGACUAGUUCUUAAAAUUGAAAUCUCUCUCAAGUUUAGGCAUGACUGUUAUUAACUAAGAUUUGCUCUAAACCUGAACUUGUGGGAAGAGUACUUGAUCUAAAGUCUAAGCCGUUAACGGAUACGAUAUGGGAAGGUUGAGCUGCUGUUUAUCUGUUCCUAGAGAUGCUAGAAUUCUGGAGAAUUUUAUCUUUGAAAAUCUUUAAAAUGUUGCAAGAUGAGUUCCUGUAUGAUGAGAGAUUAAAAUCCUACCACAGCCAUAUAUACAUGUUUAUUAGACUAUGAACCAUACAUUUACUUUUUACUGCUUAUGAGCAUUGAGUGUGGUCAAGCUGUGUAGACCCUUAGGAGCUUGUCAUGCGGUUAAAAUCAAGAUUCACUUGCACGUUCACUCAUACAUGCUGCUUCUACUCUGGAAGUACGUAUCCACAUACAUCCACUCAUUUCCAUAUCUAGAUUCACCCAAAAUUAUUCUACUCCUAUCUAGGAGAGAAUAGCCAAAAAUAUUAUCCUAUCUCUGUUAUUCUCCGUGAAAUAAAGGCUCGAGAUAUUUUGGUUACUACCACUUGCUACAUUAUUCUGGGAGGGUGAGUGCUCUGAAAAAAAAGUGAAUAUGAGGAAAUAAAAAGGGGCAAGUGCCCGAAACCUCGAAAAAAACAGAGAAAAAGUGAGACGAGAGGUAAAAAUGGACAAGUGUCCGACAGUAGAAUUAGGGGUACAAGAUACCCACCUGAGAGAAAAAAAAUAAAAUAGAGAGCAUCUCAUUCCCCUCAAAAGCCUCAAGUGCAAGGAAGGUAUGUACCCCCUCAAAAGAGCAAAAGUAGAAUUAGACUUUCACCAUUAUCACCAUUCAUUCGCCACACAUGCACAUCUUGAUUUGACUUAUUGACUUGUUCUUCUGGAUCUAUGGUUUGACUAUGCAAUAAAUGUCUUGUAAGUAUGUAUUAGCUGUCUCCCACCUAUGAGCUCCAGAUAUCAAAACCUUAUUAGAGUAGGGUGAGAGAGAAGGCAUACACCAUUAAUGCCUUGGUAAGGAUCCAGAAAUACCACAAAAGAGAGACUAGAGAGAGUCAUACAAGGAAUCUCUGAGUUUUAUUUGAAAAUCUGCAAAAACUCCAGAGCUAUAGUUAAUCGAAGAACAAGAGACAUGGCGCUUGACUAGACUGUUCUAUAUUUUAACUGCUCAAGACACAAGUGACGGUUGCAAGCCCCAUGGUGGAAGGAAAAAUGAGUAAGUUUAAAUCUUAACAGUUUACCCUAACCCAGAGAUGAGAUCUUGUUUGAACGCAUGUGUACCUUUAAGGCAUGAAACCACUGCAGAAACUCUUGAGUCCAUCCUUGCUUAGGGACGAGCAAAGGUUAAGCUUGGGGGAGCUUGUUGAUGGUCCUUAAUGCUCACAUUUAACAGUCAACUGAUCAUGGAAAAGGAUCCAAAUGCAACCGACAUCUAGACUUAGGGUUUUAUCUGACAGAAUUCCAUGAGUUUUGGUGUUUGUCUAUUUCUGUAGGGGGUUAUCAGGAAAUAUGGAGGAAAGGCCCACACGUCGGGUUUACAUAGAGAUAUUAACGUGUGUGCUAAUUUUCUAUCAUCUAAAAGACUCUAGAAGCUACGGGAACGAACGGAAGGCCGAGCGGGCCCGGGGGCAGGGCGCCCGCCCUGCCCCCUUGGGCGCCCGCCCUGCCCUGGUGACCAAUUAGGGAAGGUCUCGCGGAUCGUGCUCCACCGCCUUUGAGGAUCAAGGAAAACCGUGAGAUUAAGGUCGGUUUGAUCCGGCGGCCCACAUUCAUUUGGAGGGGCUAUAUAAGCAGGCCCCCUGGCCCCUGGAGGACAUACCUCUUCUACAGAAUCAAAGCUAGGGUUUCAAUUAUUCAUCCAAGUAGAGAGGAUCCCUCUAGUUCAUCUAGUUCAUCUAGUUCUAGUUCUAGUUAGUUCUAGUUGUAAUCUAGAAAAUAGGGA